UUCUCUUUAUAUUUUUUAUAUUGGAUACAAACAAAUUAACAAUUACAGACUAUCGCCAACUUAUAAUGCUUAAACUUUAUGAUCAAUAGUAAUAAAUUACAUGAGAUAUUCACACUUUAUUAUAAAAUAGGGUUUGUGUAAGAUGAUUUUUCCCAACUGUAGGUUAACAUCAGUGUUCUGAGCACAUUUAAGGUAGGCUUGGCUAAGCUAUGAUAUUCAGUAGGGUAUGUGUAUUUCAUGCAUUUUUUACUUACAAUAUUUUCAACUUAUGGUGGAUUUAUUGGGACAUAAACCCAUCCUAAGUCAAGGAGCAUCUGUAUACAUGAAGCUAACAUUCUAUUCCUAUCAGACAGUGCUGCUCUAAAGUAUGUCACUGCAAAACUUAAGCCUUCAAGUAAAAUGAUCAGAUUUGCAUUCUAGAAAGAUUAUAUGCCCUGGUGAGACUGGGUUAAGAUUGAAAGCAGAUAGAAAGCUAUUCCAGUUGCUGGGGCAAACAAUGAUAAGGACCUGUUUUAAAACAUGUGCAGUAAAGGUUAUGAGGAAAUAACAGCUUUAGCCUGGGCAUGGUGACUCAUGCCUGUAAUCCCAACACUUUGGGAGGCCGAGGUGGGAGGAUCGCUUGAGGCCAGGAGUUUGAGGCCAGCCUAGGCAACAUGACGAAACUCCAUCUCUACAAAAAAUACACACAUUAGCCAGGCAUGGUGGCAUUGCGCCUGUAGUCUCAGCUAGUCAGAAGUCUAAGGCAGGAGGAUCAUCUGAGCCUGGGGAGAUUGAGGCUGCAGUGAGCUGUGAUCAUGCCUGGGUGACACAGUGAGACCUUGUCUCAAAUUAAAAAAAAAGGAAACAACAACUUCAAUUUUCAAUGUACAGUAAAAAGAAAAAAAAAACCACUCAGGAUAGCACUUUUUGAGGGAGGAUAAAAUUCUUGGGGUUUGCAGCAGAUUUCCAGUUACAUGGAAAUCUAUUUGCUUUGGGAGUGGGGCCAAGACAAAUAUGCCCAAGUGUAGGAUCAUUACGCUACUCUGAAUUAAAAAGAAGAAAUCACAUUCAAAUCCCUGGAGUUAGAAGAGUUGUGAGUUCCAAUGUGGUAUUAUCACUCCAAGUUAUACUGGACUCCUGAGUUCUCCAAAGGAACCCUAGUGGUACCUUGUAAGUCUACAGGAAGACAAAUUGGUAUAGUUGUAGUGGAGGGCUUGGUGAAGCUUGCUAUGUGUCCUCAAUUAGGGAGCAUGAUCUGAGUUCUUAAUGUGGCUCUGGUUAUAAGCCCUUGCUCAAGGCAAUGAGAGAAGAACUCCAUCCUCUGAUCUGAAGUUCAAGAUGUCAAAGAACCUUGAUAUAAAUCUGCCAGUGUCUACCUUGGGCAGUUGGGAACUUGGGAAAAAACAUAAAUUCCAUUUGGAUGCAAAGAGAAUAUUGGAAAGGGUUGUCAAAUAGAAAAGAAUCAAAUUAAUAGAUGCAUUGGAAAUAAACUAUUGGCCAGGCAUGGUGGCUCACACCUGUAAUCCCAGCACUUUGGGAGGCUGAGGCAGGCGGAUCACUUGAGGUCAGGAGUUAGAGACCAGCCUGGCCAACAUGGUGAAACUCCCAUCUCAACUAAAAAAAAAAAUUAGCUGGGUGUGGUGGUGCACACCUGUAGUCCCAGCUACUUGGAGGCUGAGGCAUGAUAAUCUCUUGAAACCGGGAGAUGGAGGUUGCAGUGAGCCGAGAUGGUGCCACUGCACUCCAAUCUGGGUGAUAAUGAGAGACUCCGUCUCAAAAACAAAACAAAACAAAACAAAGAAAAGAAAUGACUUCACAUUUAGGAUUAAGUUUUUUAAAACAAUAACAUAAACUACAUAAACUGCUUUUCAUAAAGAAUAUAAAGUGCCCUGAAGACAGAAAAUAUUCACGCCUCUAACAAACCUUUAUCAAGGCCUUACCAAGGACCAGGUACAGUGCUAGGUACUGGGAUUUUAUGUAUAAAUGUGUAUAUGUAUAUCCACAUAUAUACUGUAUGAAUAAAAUUGAAUCCUUGUCCCUGAAGAACUCACCACCUAUCUACUUUUCAGAUAAGGGACAAAUCCCUCAGAUGUGGACAU
rnacentral:lncRNA from 1 species